rnacentral:rRNA from 1 species
UACGGAGGGGGCUAGCGUUGUUCGGAAUUACUGGGCGUAAAGCGCACGUAGGCGGACCGGACAGUCAGAGGUGAAAUCCCAGGGCUCAACCUUGGAACUGCCUUUGAAACUAUCGGUCUGGAGUUCGAGAGAGGUGAGUGGAAUUCCGAGUGUAGAGGUGAAAUUCGAUAGAUAUUCGGAGGAACACCAGUGGCGAAGGCGGCUCACUGGCUCGAUACUGACGCUGAGGUGCGAAAGCGUGGGGAGCAAACAGG